GUCGGGGCAGUUGGACGAAGGGGCUGGAAAGUAAAUAAAAGCGAGGGAUGGAGGAAGGAGGAGGAGAGAGACGAGUCCAAAGGGUUACACCCAUCGAGAGGAGGCAAAAACAAAAAGCAGCACAACCAACUGGUUGACCGCUGACUGACCGGCAUACAGGAAGUGGAAAAAAGGAGCUGACCAUUCCCCCCCUACAGGUGGAGACAGAAGUGCACCACACUCUGGGUUCAAAGGUCAUGCGCCAGCCCUGCAGGCAGGAAGAUUGGGCCAAAAAGGGGGAGAGCAAAAUGAAAGAGACAAGGAAAAGAGAGAGACAGCGCAGCGCCAAACGUCAUCAUGCAGUGGACAGGCUCGGCUAAUGGGGGCGGGGCGGGAUGUUUUGUUUUUUAUUUUUCAGCCGGUGAGGUGACACGGCGGCGUGCUUCGCUCGAGCCCGACUCCGGGGCGGGGCCCCGGUACAGGGCAACCUCUGAAAGGCACACACACACAGGAGUGGACAAGGCGGGUGUAUGUUAGAAAAUAGUGGUCUCGUACUUGGUGUUGACUCCUCUCUUGGCCUCCUGACCCGGCUCCACAAUCCACGGCACGUUGGCGUGGCCCUUUUGGUCCAUGGACGGCUGCUCCAUCUGACAGACAAAGAGAGGGGACGUUACAGAAAAGGAAAAGAAGAAGAAGAAGCAAAGAAGUAGGACAAGAGAAAAUUGACGUUUGGCACAAUUUUAAGUGUGUUGCUGCCGCAGUUCGGCCCUGUCAGAAUCAGGUAGUGCCGGAAAGCUGACAAAGGCAGCGCUGCCCGGCUUCGCUGGCAGCCAGCGGCUGUGAAGUUGGGAUUUAAACAUCCGCAUCUACCUCCACAGCGGAGGCAAAGAGUGACAGAUGAAAGCGGCGAAGCCGGGAACGAGGGGCGAGCAGAUUGUGUUGCCAGAUGUCGGCAGUAAACCUGAGGAGUGAAGUAAUAACAGUACCAACGAUACCAGAUGGCCAAAUCUACGCAAAAUAUAACCCACGUUGUAAUAAAUAGAAUUAUCCCACAUGACUUAAAUGAAGUCUGUCACAGCAGCAGCAGAAGUUAAAUGUGCUUUACCCUCAUUUUGGCACAAGCAUCUUGUGUUGACUCUGUCCCUCUCAGCUCCUUCACCAGCAUGGAACCCAGGUACUGUGGAAAAACACAAACACACAUGAUUAUAAAUACACAGGGUUUGUAUUUGUAUCUCAGUGUCUGUUUAUAUCCAUAAAACUUAUUUCUCCUCA